rnacentral:lncRNA from 1 species
UGAACGUUGUCUCAUAUCGAAUGGGGUAUCAAGGAAUAGUAUUUUUGGUGCUCAUACCGGAUGGGGUAUGGGAACGACCUGAUUCACUCUCAUACCGGAGUAGGUAUUGAAGGAUGGUAUUUUUUGUGCUCAUACUAGACAGAGUAUGGGGACGGCUGGUUUGUUAACAAUGUUGGAUAUGGGUUCACGCGUAGUGAGAUAUCGCG